AUGAACGCUGGCGGCGUGCUUAACCCCUGCCAGUCGAGCGAGAAGUUUUGAAAAGAUUCUUCGGAUGAAAUUUAAAAUGGAAAGCGGCGGACGGGUGAGUAACGCGUAGGCAACCUGCCCCAUACAAAGGGAUAGCAUUUGGAAACGAAUAUUAAUACCUUAUGAAACUUAACUAGUGCAUGCUAGGUAGGUCAGAGAUUUAUCGGUAUGGGAUGGGCCUGCGUCUGAUUAGCUAGUUGGUGAGGUAACGGCUCACCAAGGCGACGAUCAGUAGCCGACCUGAGAGGGUGAACGGCCACAUUGGAACUGAGACACGGUCCAAACUCCUACGGGAGACAGCAGUGGGGAAUAUUGCACAAUGGGGGAAACCCUGAUGCAGGAACGCCGCGUGAACGAUGAAGGCCUUUGGGUCGUAAAGUUCUGUUCUAGGUGAUGAAAACUGACAGUAACCUAGGAGAAAGCCCCGGCUAACUCCGUG
rnacentral:rRNA from 1 species